rnacentral:rRNA from 1 species
GCUUGGGCUGCUUUAAUGGUAGUCUUUACUUUUUCUCUUUCACUAGUAGUAUGGGGAAGGAGUGGACUCUAGGGAUACUACUAAUUGAUUAAGUAUUCAAAUUGUUGUAUCAAUUCUUUUUUUUAA